AGCGAACGCUGGCGGCAGGCUUAACACAUGCAAGUCGAACGCCCGGGCAACCGGGAGUGGCAGACGGGUGAGUAACGCGUGGGAACAUACCCUUUGGUUCGGAAUAACUCAGGGAAACUUGAGCUAAUACCGGAUAAGCCCUUAUGGGGAAAGAUUUAUCGCCGAAGGAUUGGCCCGCGUCCGAUUAGCUAGUUGGUGAGGUAACGGUUCACCAAGGCGACGAUCGGUAGCUGGUCUGAGAGGAUGGUCAGCCACACUGGGACUGUGACGCGGCCCAGACUCGUACGGGAGGCAGCAGUGGGGAAUAUUGGACAAUGGGGGCAACCCUGAUCCAGCCAUGCCGCGUGAGUGAUGAAGGCCCUAGGGUUGUAAAGCUCUUUCGGCGGGGACGAUAAUGACGGUACCCGCAGAAGAAGCCCCGGCUAACUUCGUGCCAGCCGCCGCGGUAA
rnacentral:rRNA from 1 species